CCGCGCAUCUGACACCGCCUUAUUUAGAAAACGCGUAAAACAGAUUUAUUUUAAUUGCAUCGUCACCGUCAAAUGUUCCACCAUCCGUGUUAUCUUAGCCGUCUAUCUUGACUCCGAAUCCUAUAUAAACCAUCCUACAUAUUGUAUAUUGCUCAAAUUUCUUUGCUUCGUGAUAGCUCUCGAUUUUAGGGUUCGUCGUUCUUGUUUUAUCGCUAUGAGUUUUUUUCGUUAUUUGGAUUGUUAGAUAUCAAGAAUUUCGGUACUCGAGAAUUAUUUGUAUAAUUUUUUGAUAUAAUUCUUUUAUUGGAUAGUCUUUUUGCGAUUCUCGAUACAACAGAUAAGAACGGAAUGGAUUCAGAUUUCAAUUCAUUGAAUAGUGAACUUCUUUUUCUCCACCUUGGAGAGUCUAGGGUUGCACGAUUUCUUGAUUCUGGAGUUUGCUCGUUCUCGUUCUUGUGCCCUACUUUCUCUGUUUUCUUGAUUUCUCGAUUUCUGGAUUUCUUGAUUGCUUGAUUAGUUGAACACUUAAUUGCUCCGCGAAGGCUUGAUUUCAGGUUCUGUUGUUCUUGCUUUCUUGGACUGGCUGCUAUGAACGUGGUUGUUAGGGAUUUUCUUAUUGAUACCUUUUCUCAGAUCGUAUUGAUGUUACGUUUUUUGGUGUGGUUUGAUUUCAGGUUUUGUUGUUUUUGUUUUCUAGUGUUGAUUACUCUUUUAUGAAGGAUCAGUGAUAAUUAUUUGUAAAAUUCUUUUGGGUAUGAUUCAUGAUUUUGAUAAUUGAGUAACGUAUCUAAUCGGUCUUGCAGAGUUAGGUCUUGAUAUCUAGAUUCUCCGAUAGAUAAAUCAAAUUUCUUCCCUUAGUCUUGAUACGAUGGACAUGGACAGAGAAAGAGAAAAACAACAGGAUACAUGAAUCAAAACCAAAAACUCUCCUUGUCUUCAUUUGGUGCUGAGUACACGUAAUGCAUGCUUUGGUUGCAGUCUGAUUUUUGAGAUAUUGGAGAUAAGUGCUUCUGUGGUGUGAACUACUUAACAUGAUGUCAAGGAGACGUGGAUAGUCAUUUUUGGCUGGUUGAGCUGUAUAUUCUGUUGCUAUGCUUAGAUUUGAAUAUUUCGGCAUCAGGAUAGGUUUUAUAUAAUCUUCUGUUAUGAUGUUUUUAUUAUGAUACAUAUUCCUAACAAGGCAUCCUCUUGGUUGCAGUGGCCCAAAGACUCUGGAUUAGAACGAAACAAACUUAUCAUUACAUGAUCUCUCGAGUUGGAUAAAAUUUUGUUCCAAUGAAUCCUCAUAUAUUGUGGGUUAUAUACUCCCUCUGUUGCUACGCUCUAAUUUGGUCAUUUCUGCUAAUACUCUUCUCAUUUCAAUCUUUGUUUGAUUUUGAUACUCAACAUAUACUUUUGUCGGUUCCUUAGUCUCUUGUGUGUGGAUGUUACUCAGGAGAUAACCCAUGGAACCUGUGGCAGUCCGAGGUUCACAUGCUUUUUGUUUAUAGCUGCAGUCAGAGGUUAACAUUCUUUCUGUCUAUAGCUUUGGGAAAGAACAUUCAAUUUUUUAGUUACAUACGGUCUAUUUAUUUUGGUAUUUGAGAUAUUUGUCCUCCAAUGGUGUGUUCUGUUUUAGUUGGAGGCAUACAAGAAACCAUACCCGAUUCUAGGGAACAUUUCUAUCUCGAGGAUAAGGAAUUCUACAGAUUUUUCGCAUCUCUUUUAUUUUGUUGAUUUGCCAUUUCCUUUGUUGUAAGUUCUUUUUCUUGUUUCAUUUUUAUUCUUGUCAUAAGUGAUAUAUAAGACUGAACAAAAAAUCUUCUCUUCCAUUUGGGUAUUCCUCAGCUAAUUUGCAACUGGUGCAAGAACUUGGCAUAAGGGGAGCCUAAUUGAGCACAAUAGGCUGCAAUUGGUUGUUGUUGUACUUUCAUCGGGUGAUCUCUACUAUGAGUAUUAAUUCUUCAUGUUUCUUUGUAUAUAUUAAGGUCUUGUUUUCUAGAUUUCUUCUUUGUGAGUUCUUUGUGAGUUCCUUGUAGGCGUCACAUGGAAUAUGUGCUUGAUGUUUCAUGGGAGAGAUGCUAUGAAACCAAAGAUCAUCUCUCCCAUAUAGGCUGCAAUUGGUUGUUGUUGUACUUUCAUCGGGUGAUCUCUACUAUGAGUAUUAAUUCUUCAUGUUUCUUUGUAUAUAUUAAGGUCUUGUUUUCUAGAUUUCUUCUUUGUGAGUUCUUUGUGAGUUCCUUGUAGGCGUCACAUGGAAUAUGUGCUUGAUGUUUCAUGGGAGAGAUGCUAUGAAACUAAAGAUCAUCUCUCCCAUAUGGGUAUCCCUCACAGAAUCUGCAACUGGUGCAAGAACUUGGCAAAAGGGGAGCCUAAAUGAGUAUAAGAGGCUGCAAUUGGUUGUUGUUGUGCUUUCAUCUUGCAAUUUCUAACUAUUAAUUCUUCAUGUUUCUUUGCAUAUAUGUUAAGAUCUUAUUUUUUGGAUGUCUUCGUAAGUUCCCUGUAGACUUCAUAUAAGAGGCUGCAAUGUUGUUGUGCUUUCAUCUUGCAAUUUCUAACUAUUAAUUCUUCAUGUUUCUUUGCAUAUAUGUUAAGAUCUUAUUUUUUUGGAUGUCUUCGUAAGUUCCCUGUAGACUUCAUAUGGAGAGAAGCUAUGAAUGUAUUGUGGAAUUUGAACUUUUACAUUUAACAGGUCAUUUUUUUCCUGAGCAUACAUUUGAAAUAUAGGUGUCCUAUAACAGUGUAAUGAGGUAAUGUUGAUUUUUGUGUUUUGCAGAAGGAAUACAAGUAUUUAUGGUUAUGUAGUACAUGUCCAUCUUUUUCUUGGCUAAAUUUUCUUCUCAUAAAAAGUUGGAAGUAAGAAAUAUAUGUUACCUAAAUAAACAACACGAUUUCAGUGAGAAUUUAUUGCUACAUGCAAACUUUACCAAAUUUCUGAACUUUAUAUACGAUUCUCUCUUUUGAAGUUCACUUGUAAAAAAUGCAAUAAUGUUCCAUAUCUAUUUAAGCAUUAUUAUUAUAUUAAUAUAAUUAUUAUUUUAUUAGAUGAGAUUUUAUAAAUUGGAAACAGCCAGAUUGUAGAUCAUCCAUUGGGCUUAAGUGAGAAGAUGAGCCUUGACAAAUCAGAAUAUGAUUUUAUAAAUUCUUUACCUCUCAAUAUGUUUUUAUCGAUUUUGAGAGAAGAUAAUUCCUGAUUUGUUGUUAUUUUCCUAUUUGUUAUAGUAGAUGAGAUGAUAUAUAAACACAUGAUUCCUUCGGGUUCUAUCUUCCUUUUGUUUGAUCCUUAAGUUGUUGUGUUCUCCAACCUAGUUUUUAGUUUUGGCGAUCUCUAUUAAAUUCUUUUCUACGAAUUUAGAUGUCUAUGCAAUAAUGCUCAUCAGAUACUAUUAUUAUUUUGAUCUUCCUCCUUUUAAUCUUCAAGUUUUGCCUUCUUACUAUUUUGGUUUCCUCAUUUUGUUGUUUCAUUUAGUUGUUGUGGUUUCAAACUUGGAGUAUGCUCUUUUAUUUUAAUUUUAAAAUAUUCUUCUUCUUUUUUAUCAUGUUUUCAUUUGUUAGCAGUAUGGUGGAAUUCUUUUUGAUACCUUUUCUCAGAUCAUAUUGACACCUUCUCUCAGAUCGUAGAUGCCAUUAAUUUCAUAUUGUUUUGGUGUGGUUUGAUUUCAGGUUUUGUUGAUUUUGUUUUCUGGUGUUGAUUGUGUAGACAUCAAGAUCUUCUAUUAAGGAUCUGUGAUAAUUAUUCGUAAAUUUUUUUUGGAUAUGCUUCAUGAUUUUGAUAAUUCAGUGACAUCUUGUUUUGAAUAUACUUAUGAUUUUGAUAAUUCAGUGACGUAUCUAAUCUGUUUUGCAGAGUUAGUUCUGAUAUCUAGAAUCUCCGAUAGAUAAAUCAAAUUUCUUCCAUUAGUCUUGAUACAAUGGACAUGGACAGAGAACAACUACAGGAUACAUAAACCAAAACCAAAAACUCCCGUCUUUAUUAUUUUUUUUCUGUACAUGUAUCAUUUGGUGCUGAGUACACGUAAUGCAUGUGUUGGUUUGCAGUCUGAAUUUGGAGAUAUUGGAGAUGAGUGUGUGAAUUUGGAGAUAUUGGAGAUGAGUGCUUCUGCGGUGUGAACUACUUAACAUGGUUUGAAGGAGAUUUGGAUAGUCAUGUUUGGCAGGUUGAGCUGUAUAUUCUGUUGCUAUGCUUAGAUUUGAAUAUUUCAAAAUCAUUCCUUUGUUUCUUCUAUGCAAGUUAGAUUUUCACACUUUCUCAUUAAUCCUAGGUAUUUUUUUUACUUACAUGCUGGGGUCAAAGUUUUUGUAUUUCCCCAUGUAAUAAAGCUUUUGUGCGUGUCUAUAUAGUAUACGUGAACCUGAGUUAUAGUCUGACUUAGCAUACAAGAUUAUGGAAUUACUUUUUCCACUUCCCAAGCUGAAGGUUGUAUUUACAAGAUGUGUUUUUUGUUAUGAUGAUGAUUGGUUGGCUGGCAAGAACUUAACUUUGUCAGGAUGGGUUUUCUAUAAUCUUUUGUUAUCACAUUUUUAUUUGUGAUUUAUGAUGAUUAUGAUAAAUACUCCUAAAAGAUAUCCUCUCUGUUGCAGUGGCCCAAAGACUCUGUAUUAGGAUGAAACCAAAAUUAUCAUUACACGAUCUCUCGAGUUCCUCAUAUUUUCUGGGCUAUAUACUCCCUCUGUUUCUAUGCUCUAGUUUAGUCAUCUCUACUAAUACUCUUUUCAUUUCAAUCUUUGUUUGAUUUUGAUACUCAAUAUCUACUUUACUCAACAUAUACUUUUGUCAGAUCCUUAGUUUUGUGUACGAGAAAACGUGUAAAUGUCCCGUUUUCUGGGGAACACGUGGCAUUCAGGGAGGUUCACAUUCUUUCUGUCUAUAGUUGCAGUCAGAGGUUCAUAUUCUUUCUGUCUAUAGCUUUGGGAAAGAAAGUUCAAUUUUUUAGUUACAUAUGGUCUAUUUGUUUUGGUAUUUGGGAUAUUUGUCCUCUUAUGGUGUAUCCUGUUUUAGCAGGAGGUAUACAAGAAACCAUACCUGAUUCCUGGGAACAUCUCUAUCUCGAGGAUAAGGAAUUCUGCCGUUUUUUCGCACCUCUUUUGUUUUGUUGAUUUUCCAUUUCCGUUGUGAUAAUUUCUUUUUUUUCUUUUUUCAAUUGUCAUAUAUGAUAUAAUAAGGCUAAACUAAUAGUUUUUUCCCCAUAUCGGUAUUCCUCAGCUGCAACUGGUGCAAUAUUUAUGAGUUCCCAGGUUUAUUUUGUUCCGAUUCUUAUUGCACUUCUUGAUUUACUCUUUUUAUGAUUUCCAUCAAAACUACUUUUUUUCCGCACAAGUGUAUGUUCUAAAUUUAGGUUUUUGAUCUAUAAUUUCCUGCAGGCUGUGUUAUAUAUUUGCUAGGCAUUAAUUUGGUGAUCUCUAUUUAGAUUAUAUAUAUUUUACAUUCCUGUAUAUUGUUUCAGCAUACAUGCUUUAGUCAUUUUUAAAUUAUAUGUUUUUUUAGUGUUAAGGUUUUUUGUCUAUUCGUAUCCAUUUUACUCUGGUUUUGGAGUUACCCCGCCCUUCCCAAAAUGAGAAAUCUUGGUUAGGUGUUAUUUGCUUUGACUAUCUGUUUGUUGGGGACACAUUGGCAAGGGAGAGAUGAUAUUCUUUUAUUGUUUAUUGAUUCGAUUGUUACUUGUGAUUUAUCAUAAAUCGAUAUUCACACAUUGGCAAGGGAGAGAUGAUAUUCUUUUGUUGUUUAUUGAUUCGAUUGUUACUUGUGAUUUAUCAUAAAUCGAUAUCCUCUCGUUUUAAGUGGAAGCUUAAAUUCAUAAUGUUUCAGAUUGAGGACAAGAUCUUUCAAAUUGGAUAGACAUCUGUUCUAAAGAACCAACAUUUUCUGCAGGCUGUGUUAUAUACUUUGAUUUGUUCAUACCUAACAUUUCAAUUUUUGUUUCGAUUGACACAGCAAUUGUUUUUUUUCAGUUCUUUUGAAUUUUCAUCUUGGUGUUACAAUAUUAAAGCAUACCGGAUUUGUUUUCUAGCUCUGUGGAUGAAGAAUUUUGGGAAGCUUAGUUUAGGGUGGUUAUAAAUUUUGGUGUGCCUAGGCUUUGUUGCAAGCGGAGGUUAACAUACAAUCCGAUAUCCUUUCAUUCUCUUGGACAAAACUAGUCUUUUUCACACAUGUAUGUGUUUUGCAAUUGGGAUAAUUGGGAUAUUUGUCCUUUGAUGGUCUAUCCUGGUAGUGUUGGGAGUUUUUGUAUCAAGAGGUGGAAUGUUGAAGCACACAAGGUUUGUCUGCCAACGCCGAGGUCUAAUUUUCUCAAAUCCUUCACGAGUUCUCUUCACAUUGCCCGGUUUUUAUUGAGAUCUAAUUUCCUCGGCUCUAUCAUGAGUUCUCCGUCGACUUCACACAAGAAUACAUAUUGUGAAGGUUGUGGCAGAGAUUAUCAAGGGCAUGGUUUUCCUUGUGUUACAAGGCUAAGAGGCUAUGAAAGUACCGAGGGAUUUCUAUAUUGAUUAUCAGAGCUUAUAUUUCUUGAUUUGUUAUUUUCCUCACUGGUAUUGCAGAAGUGGUAUUUUCCUCUGCUGUAUCUUACUCCUAAUUUGGUUAUUGAGCUUUGCUCGAGAAUAUAAAUUUCAAUUCUUUUCGAUUA